rnacentral:lncRNA from 11 species
GGCACUUUAAAAAAAUCAUUUGGGGCAAAGUAAAGCAGUGCUAUUCAAAUGUGUGGUCUGUGGAUCAGUGCCAGUCUACAGGACUUCAGCCGUUGGUCCCUGGCAAUUUUCUGGGAAAGAAAGACACAAAUGUAAACAACAGACCAGGACACCUUGAUUUUAUGAGAUAUGUGGCCACUAUACCCAUCCUCAUCUCAGAGCUUUUUCCAUGCCUAGCACCCAGCCUACAAAACAACAAGGAAAGCAGCAAUAACCAUGAAACCAAAGAUUCAGUAUCGAUCCCUUCCAAGUUAAACAACCAUCAGC